rnacentral:rRNA from 1 species
AUUGAACGCUGGCGGCAGGCCUAACACAUGCAAGUCGAACGAGUGGCGGACGGGUGAGUAAUGUCUGGGAAACUGCCUGAUGGAGGGGGAUAACUACUGGAAACGGUAGCUAAUACCGCAUCCCAUCGGAUGUGCCCAGAUGGGAUUAGCUAGUAGGUGGGGUAAAGGCUCACCUAGGCGACGAUCCCUAGCUGGUCUGAGAGGAUGACACGCCACACUGGAACUGAGAAACGGCCCAGACUCCGACGGGAGGCAGCAGUGGGGAAUAUUGCACAAUGGGCGCAAGCCUGAUGCAGCCAUGCCGCGUGUAUGAAGAAGGCCUUCGGGUUGUAAAGUACUUUCAGCGGGGAGGCGUUACCCGCAGAAGAAGCACUGGCUAACUCCGUGCCAGCAGCCGCGGUAAAC